rnacentral:rRNA from 1 species
UACGGAGGGGGCUAGCGUUGUUCGGAAUUACUGGGCGUAAAGCGCGCGUAGGCGGCUUUGUAAGUUAGAGGUGAAAGCCCAGGGCUUAACCCUGGAAUUGCCUUUAAGACUGCAUCGCUAGAAUCGUGGAGAGGUGAGUGGAAUUCCGAGUGUAGAGGUGAAAUUCGUAGAUAUUCGGAAGAACACCAGUGGCGAUGGCGACUCACUGGACACGUAUUGACGCUGAGGUGCGAAAGCGUGGGGAGCAAACAGG